GCCAGGGGCAUCGCAGAGUAGCUACGUUGGGCAGGGAUAAGCGCUGAAAGCAUAUAAGUGCGAAACCCACCACAAGAUUAGAUUUCUUUAAAGGGUCGUUGGAGAUGACAACGUUGAUAGGCUACAGAUGUAAAGGCAGUAAUGUCACAGUCGAGUAGUACUAAUAGCCCGUACGCUUAUGUG
rnacentral:rRNA from 1 species